rnacentral:rRNA from 1 species
AUUGAACGCUGGCGGCAUGCUUUACACAUGCAAGUCGAACGGGGUGGAGGGGCAACCUUCCAUUCAGUGGCGAACGGGUGAGUAAUGCAUCGGAACGUGUCCCGUAGUGGGGGAUAACGCCGGGAAACCGGCGCUAAUACCGCAUAUGCUCUACGGAGGAAAGUGGGGGACCUGAAAGGGCCUCACGCCAUGGGAGCGGCCGAUGUCCGAUUAGCUAGUUGGCGGGGUAAAGGCCCACCAAGGCGACGAUCGGUAGCUGGUCUGAGAGGAUGAGCAGCCACACUGGGACUGAGACACGGCCCAGACUCCUACGGGAGGCAGCAGUGGGGAAUUUUGGACAAUGGGGGCAACCCUGAUCCAGCCAUGCCGCGUGCGGGAAGAAGGCCUUCGGGUUGUAAACCGCUUUUAGCCGGAAAGAAAAGGCGGAGGCUAAUACCCUUCGUUCUUGACGGUACCGGCGGAAUAAGCACCGGCUAACUACGUGCCAGCCGCCGCAGUAACAC